UAAAGUAGAGGUUGCAUUAUUAAAGAGUAAUAUACACGAUGUGCCAGAACACAAAUGAAUGUAUACGAAAGGUGAUGAUGCCGAAGUGGUGUAUAGUCUGGAUAUAAACUGCUGGGCGUAAGUUUAAUAGAUUUGCGACUGUCAUCAGAAUGAUGGAGGGCUACUUA
rnacentral:ncRNA from 1 species